UACGGAGGGUGCAAGCGUUAUCCGGAUUCACUGGGUUUAAAGGGUGCGUAGGCGGAGUGGUAAGUCAGUGGUGAAAUCUCCAAGCUUAACUUGGAACUGCCGUUGAUACUAUCAUUCUUGAAUAUCGUGGAGGUAAGCGGAAUAUGUCAUGUAGCGGUGAAAUGCUUAGAUAUGACAUAGAACACCGAUUGCGAAGGCAGCUUGCUACACGAUCAUUGACACUGAGGCACGAAAAGCGUGGGGGAUCAAACAGG
rnacentral:rRNA from 1 species